GUCAGAAGAUUAUAGGAGGGUCUCAGGGUCUAUAAUGGGACCAGGAACGUGUAUGGACGUCUCGGGGUCUCUAGUGGGAUCAGGGGGAUGGGAGGGUCUCAGGGUCUGUAGCAGGAUCAGGGGCGGUGUGUGGGAGGGACUUUUGGACCUGUAGUGGUCUCAGGUGUGUGAGGGCAGCUGGGCCUCCUGUAGUAGCCUCAGGUAUGUGUGGAUGAGGCUGUGGAGGUCAUAGUGGUCUCAGGUGUGUGUAUGGGGGUGUCAGGGUUUAUAGGAGUCUCAGGUGUGUGUAUGGGGGUGUCAGGGUUUAUAGGAGUCUCAGGUGUGUGUAUGGGGGUGUCAGGGUCUAUAGAGGUGUCAGGUUUGUGUGGGUGGGUUGUCAGGAUCUGUAGUGGGCUCAGGUGUAUGAGGGGGGCAGUGUUUCAGCAGGGUAAAAAUGCUGCUCUGAGUCUCUCAACACCUGCUGCAGGUGUUGGGGAGCCAGGACAAGGAGCAUGUGUCCUGUGGCAGAUCCCAGCAGGAAGAGGCUCCUGGUAACUAAAAAGAAUCAGGUGGGACUUUGCAGCAGUCAAAGGCACAAAGGAGAAGGGACUGCAACAGGGAUGGAGAGCUCUGGAUUAGGAAUUGCUUGGAGUAGAGGCAGGGAAAGAACCGUCCUCACAGAUCCCUGUGAAACCAGAAGUACAGAAACCUGAGAGCCCCAAGUACCGGGUGAGGGGUGUUGGUGUGUCCUGUGCCUCAAAGGCCAAGGAGAGCACAGCGAGCAUGACUCGUGUGUCAGAUACUCUGAAAAGCUGGUGCUGACCAGGCAGGAGGCAGAAAUCUCUGCUCAAACUCCUUGGGGCGUAGACAGUUAAGUUUCUGCGUUUGUAAGGGAAACAUGGCAUUCCUUACAGCUGAGCCUCCUCCCUCGGGUUCCCACUGAAUGCCUGAGAGAUGACAGCAGAGGGUGUCUCCAGAAGGCUCCUAUUAAACAGGAGGAAUUAGCACGGAGGGAGCAACUUCGAGAUCCCAGUUUUGACCACAGAGCGAGCUAAAAAGCGUUGCAUCAGCAGCUGUGUGCAGCCAGUGGGAAGGAAACUGCACACAGCUCCUGGGCAGGGGGCUCCCGUGCCCUCCUGGCGGUACCUGCGCCCUCCCGGUGGGUGAAGGGCUGGGCUGGGAGGGUCAAUCGGCUCCAAACCGAAAGUGCUGAGGCAGUGCGAGUCAGGGCAGAUUCACCUUGGGAGGGCAGCCGUGGUUCAGGCACACUUACAACCAGUCGGGUAUCCCCAGCACCACGACCCAGGCGGGCAGGGGAGCGGGUGAGCCGAGUAUGUGGACAGAUGGAACAGAUACAGACAGGAAAUUGGGAAGAAAUGGGGGGGGAAAACAGUGUUUUUAAAGCUCUAAGGGGGCUCUAGUUAGUUCUGAGAAAGGGGUUGAGUCGUGCAGUCUCGUUUCUAUUUUUAGCUCUGUGACUGUAUGACUUUAGGAAGCGACUUGAGCACUUCAAGCCAGGUGUGAGUGGGGAGAGGACAAAAACCCGUGGGCACCAGGCAGCUCAUGCGAUGUGGCAGCUGCCGCCACACCCUUUCCUGUUCGCCCCGUGGCCGCGGGCAGCCCUGCCAGCCGCGCUGCCUGAGUGAGGAGAGAGGGGAAAAGGAGUGCUUUCCAAGACGCUGAUAACCCCCAGCACCCGGCAUUCCUUGGAGAAGGUGAGCCAGUGAGCAGCUCUGGUGGUGUGUCUCCCCGGGGACAAGUCAAGUGCUCCCGAAAACCUUGGUUGCUGCUCCGAGGUAGUGCUGACUUUUGGCCGUGCCUUAGCCUGGCUCCUGUUACAGGCAGUGUUGACUUAUGGAAAAAGGCACCGGGCAUACUUGGCAUGGGUGUUCCGAGUUAAAAAUUGUCAGUCUGGGCAAACAGACCUUUGGGGUGAACUGCAGGAGAGCCAAGUGCCUGCAAUGCGUUAUUGCAGCUCUUGUCAGAACACCAGAGCGUGACCUGGUGCUGCUCCGGGUGCCGAGCGCCCGGCUCGGCGGGUUUUGGAGAAGUGCUGCGGGUUUGGGAGCUCAGUCCUUUAGACCAAACCCAUUUCCUUCCCCUCGGUGAGGUGAGGUGUUUAGUAGUGAGUCAAUAAGCUCUGCAUGUGAGGAAUGCACCUCGCAGCUGAAGGUGAGCCAUUAGUGUGGCUGUGCUGGAGGCAAGGAGAUUAAUUAGUCCUUCCCUUAGACUUAAGAGCUGCAGAAAUAAGAUAGGUGAGAUAUUUGGCCUGGAAUAUCCAUGUGAGGCAUUUUCAGAUGGAGUGAGAUGCUUUUAAUUGUUCCCUCGUGUGAAUCUCAGCAGAGGAUCUGUGUCUUGGUCCUUAAUUCUGUAGCAGUGUCUAAUCAGGAUAACCUGUGCUGUAAUGCAGUUGUGGGGCAUUCCUGAUGGAUUUGGGCACGUGUUCUAGAAGCUGCUGUUUACUGGCAGGAAGGAACUGGUUCACCUGGGUGAAGGUGAGAUCACAGUCCUGUGGUGGGGCUUUGCUGUGAGUAUGGAGGAAGAGGGAAGCAAUUUCUGUAUUAAACUAUAAUAAAGUUCAGGUGAGUACAAAAUGUCCUCA